UGUAACUGACUAUUUGUCGCAAGAUGUUGCAGGAACAGCCAAGUCUGUGUUGUUAAAUCAUAAACUACGAUCUGAUUACCAAUACAAAAUCUUUCUACAAGCACAAACUAGUGCUGGUUUAUCACAAGCAUCCACUUUACUUAUACCUCAACUAUAUAAAAGUUUGGUAAAGGCUACGAUGGUAAUAGCUGAAAAAAUUAAUGUAACAGACUACCUAAUAUCUUGGAAACAAGAUAACAAUACUCUAGGUCAAACAAAUUUAGUUAAACUACAUUACUGUUAUGGAAAUGUCUUCGAGGGAUCCAAAAUAGUGAAUUGCAAGACAGGAUUAACAGAUAUCAUAAUACCUGAUGAUGAACACCAAUAUAGAUUAAGAUUAAAGACCAAACCUAAUUCUCUCUGUGAAGAUUGUCGUUGGCAGUUUUCUGUAUCCAUAGAAACUAAGUCCAUAA